UCCCCAAAUCCCUCUGUAUCGACCCAGCCACUCCCGUCCCUUCCUAACCCUACUUCCCCAAAUCACAGACCCGCCGCCGCCGCCGCCCCCCACUCCACCGCCGCCCCUUCCUAACCCUACUUCUGGCCGGCCCGUUCUCCCCUUCCCUGUGCGCCGCCGCCCUACCUCUCUUCCUCCGCUGAGCUGCCAUUUCCAUGGAAGCGGCCCGGCCUGGUCAUUGCUGGAUCUGGCGGUCUGGCCGCACCGGUGGUCGAUGCUGCCGGAUCUGGCCCGGACCUCAUCAACGCCGCCCCGGUUGUUCACCUCCCCAUCACCACUUCCUCCAUCGUCAUCUUGUCCGCCUUGCCCAGAUCCGCUGAUAGGGUGAGACCGUGAGAGUAGCCGCCUGUCUCCUGAGGAGUUCGUCCCCGACGGCCUCUCCAAGGACUCCCUCCUCCUCACUCCCAACGCCACUGCCUUCGGAACACGCUGCUCUUCUUCGUGGCAUUGAGUUCAAGCAGGGUCAACCGCGAGCUGUAUCGUCAUCGAGCGUUCCUCUUCUUCGUCGGGCCUGCACCUUCUCGGGGUGCAGCCGUGCAGCACCUGCUGCUGUGGAAGAUAGAUGGCCCGGUGCUGGUAGAGCUGCUCCACGUCGGCCCUGUCGAGCUCAACCACUAAUUGUUCAACCACGCGCUGCACCACCACUUCCUCUACACUCGCUACCAGUGAGCACCACAACGCCUCUAUCAUCAUCGAGCUCAUCACCUGUUUCCCAAAGGUACAAGUUCACUAAGGUUUGGAAGAUCUUCAAGCUGCUGGAGAUUUGGAAGAUCUACAACUAAGAUGGAGUGAUAAUGUUGUAUGUCUUGUUUGUUGAACCUAGAGAUUUGCUCUGCCCAUUUUGGUGCUUGUUAAGCUCAUUUUGGUUUUGUGGCACACAUUUAGAAACAUAUGUACAUCUCCUCUUGUGGCGGUGCUUUAUUCUGGUUGUGGCAAACAUAUAUGUACUCCUUUUGUGAACAACCUCCUUAUAUAUGGUCGUUUUGUUUAUGGAAUGAAGUUUAAGAUUUCAAUGAA